CCUGGAAGAGCGGAAAGCAGCUGGUGGAGCAGCUGGAGGAGGACCUAUCUCUGCCGCGCAACACCUUCGACAACAUCAGAGUUGUCGGCGACCAAGUGAUGUUUAAAGUAAAACCGAACCCAGUUGGUUACAACUCAUCAGUAGUGGCGGCCAAAAUAGGGGGCCUGCGAGGAUCACUGGAGAAAGAUCUUGGCGUGACGAUUGUGGCGGCAGGAGUUGGUGACGGGAUUGAUAGUAGGAACAGAU